AUGGCCCCGACGCUGACGGGCCUACCAAGCGGCCUCCUCACCGAAAUCCUUCUCCGGCUGCCCGCGCCGGAGGACCUCGCUCGCGCCUCGGCGGCCUGCCCCGCCUUCCGCCGCGUCGCCACUGACGGCUCCUUCCUACGCCGCUUCCGCUGCCUCCACGCGCCGCGGCUCCUCGCCUUCAUCGACCUCGACGGCUUCCAGCCCGCGCUCCCGCCCCACCCCUCCGCGCCCGCCGCCCGCGCGCUCUCCCGCGCCGCCGACUUCUCCUUCUCCUUCCUCCCCUCCCACUGCCGCUGGGUCCCGAUGGACGUCCGCGACGGCCGCGUCCUCCUCGGCCGCGACCACGGGCAGGACGCGCGGCCCCCGAUCUGCAGGGAGCUCGCGGUGUGCGACCCCCUGCACCGGCGCUACGUCCUGCUCCCCCCGGUGCCCGACGCCCUCGUCGCCUCGACAGAGCGCCCGCCCCCCGUGCGACGCAGGCCCUUCGACGAGCCUCUCCUCCUUCCCGUCGGCGAGAACGAUGAAGCGACGGCAUUCACGGUGAUCUCUAUGGUGCAUUGCGAGACUAAGCUGGCCCCCUUUGUGUUCUCUUCGAGCACCGGGCAGUGGCGAGCGGCGGCACCCAUGCUUUGGUCGGCCAUGCCAGUGUCGCCCAUGGACCAUACUUAUCUCAGGCGGCAUCACGCCUAUGGCUGCUUCUACUGGGAGUCCACCCUCAUCAAGAGGAGAGAGUUGCUUGUGCUCAACAUCCAGAGGAUGGAGUUCUGGAUCGCCGAGCUCCCGUCCUCUGGUUGGGGCACGCUAGGCGUGGCCAUUGUGGAGGCAGGGGAGGGCAGGCUUGGGCUGUUUGGUAUCCGUGAUGGAACUGCAGGUGGCAAACCUGACCUCUGCUACACUGUCGACAGGCGUAACAAAGGCAAGAAUUCAGGCCGGUGGCAGAUGGUGAAGACAUUCUCACUGGGUUCUGAGGGCCUGAAUUAUAUCAAAGCCGCAACAGAGAGGUAUGUGCUCCUGAUAUGUUCUGAAGCCCCGCGGUUCGUAGGCUUGUCUAUGGAGAUGCCAGACUUGGAGUAUAUCUCAGUGGACGUCAAGAAGUUGCAGCUUGAGAGGGUCUGUGUGAAGCCUUUCGGGAAUUCAUUGUCCAGGACACGCAUAUAUGCCCACUUCCCGCCGUCGCUGUCCUCGCCGACAAUAUGA
rnacentral:rRNA from 1 species